GAUGAACGCUGGCGGCGUGCCUAAUACAUGCAAGUCGAGCGAACAGACGAGGAGCUUGCUCCUCUGACGUUAGCGGCGGACGGGUGAGUAACACGUGGAUAACCUACCUAUAAGACUGGGAUAACUUCGGGAAACCGGAGCUAAUACCGGAUAACAUGUUGAACCGCAUGGUUCAACAGUGAAAGACGGUUUUGCUGUCACUUAUAGAUGGAUCCGCGUCGCAUUAGCUAGUUGGUAAGGUAACGGCUUACCAAGGCAACGAUGCGUAGCCGACCUGAGAGGGUGAUCGGCCACACUGGAACUGAGACACGGUCCAGACUCCUACGGGAGGCAGCAGUAGGGAAUCUUCCGCAAUGGGCGAAAGCCUGACGGAGCAACGCCGCGUGAGUGAAGAAGGUCUUCGGAUCGUAAAACUCUGUUAUUAGGGAAGAACGAAUGUGUAAGUAACUAUGCACGUCUUGACGGUACCUAAUCAGAAAGCCACGGCUAACUACGUG
rnacentral:rRNA from 1 species